rnacentral:snoRNA from 1 species
UCCUCCCCUCUCCUCUCACAGCAAUGGCAGCAGUGCCAUUUGUUGGCUCAGAGGUGGAGGAGACGAGAAGACAAA